rnacentral:rRNA from 1 species
GAUGAACGCUGGCGGCGUGCCUAAUACAUGCAAGUCGAGCGAACAGACGAGGAGCUUGCUCCUUUGACGUUAGCGGCGGACGGGUGAGUAACACGUAGGUAACCUACCUAUAAGACUGGGAUAACUUCGGGAAACCGGAGCUAAUACCGGAUAAUAUUUCGAACCGCAUGGUUCGAUAGUGAAAGAUGGCUUUGCUAUCACUUAUAGAUGGACCUGCGCCGUAUUAGCUAGUUGGUAAGGUAACGGCUUACCAAGGCAACGAUACGUAGCCGACCUGAGAGGGUGAUCGGCCACACUGGAACUGAGACACGGUCCAGACUCCUAUGGGAGGCAGCAGUAGGGAAUCUUCCGCAAUGGGCGCAAGCCUGACGGAGCAACGCCGCGUGAGUGAUGAAGGUCUUCGGAUCGUAAAACUCUGUUAUUAGGGAAGAACAAACGUGUAAGUAACUGUGCACGUCUUGACGGUACCUAAUCAGAAAGCCACGGCUAACUACGUGCCAGCAGCCGCCGUAAGAC